rnacentral:rRNA from 1 species
CCUACGGGAGGCAGCAGUGGGGAAUAUUGGGCAAUGGAGGCAACUCUGACCCAGCAAUGCCGCGUGAGUGAUGAAGGUAAUUUUAUUGUAAAGCCCUUUUCUUUGGAACGAAUAAAUGACGGUACCAAAGCAAUAAGCCCCAGCUAACUACGUGCCAGCAGCCGCGGCAAUACGUAGGGGGCAAGCGGUGUUCGGAAUGGCUGCGGGUAAAGGGUUUGUAGGUGGUUUGGUAAGUUAGAUGUGUAAUACCCAGGGGUUAACUCGGGGGCUGCAUCUAAAACUGUUAGACGUGAGUACUGGAGAGGAUAGUGGAAUGCCUAGUGUAGCGGUGGAAUGCGUAGAUAUUAGGAGGAACAUCAGUGGCGAAGGCGACAAUCUGGACAGCAACUGACGCUGAGGCACGAAAGCGUGGGGAGCAAACAGGAUUAGAUACCCCUGUAGUC